rnacentral:lncRNA from 1 species
GUUCAGCUAGAGAAUUCCUUCUCCCUGUGAAGUUUUACCCCCUGCUCCUCUGGCCACGCUCCCAGUGGAUCCCUGUGGUGCCAGCAGGAAUGGGCUGCUCCGGGGACCCAGCAAGCUCCCAGGGCCUUUCUGCUUCUUCCUUCACCCCUGUAUUUCGGUAGGCUCUCUGACUUGACUCAGCUCCAGAUGGAGUUUUGCUCUUGUUGCCCAGGCUGGAAAGCAAUGACAUGAUCUCAGCUCACCACAAACUCCGCCUCCCGGGUUCAAGUGAUUCUCCUGCCUCAGCCUCCCGAGUAGCUGAGAUUACAGGCAUGCGCCACCACGCUCAGCUAAUUUUGUAUUUCCUAGUAGAGACGGGGUUUCUCCAUGUUGGUCAGGCUGGUCUCGAACUCCCAACCUCAGGUGAUCCACUCGCCUUGGCCUCCCAAAGUGCUGGGAUUACAGCCAUUAGCCACGGCGCCCAGCCGAUUAUUUUCUUUUUUUUAAAUGAUGCUUUUAUCACUUUUAUACAGAGAGUAGAUACACAUCAAAAAUAAAUAAACUGUCUGAUACUAAAGAAAGCA